CAUCAGCAGCAAAGGCAUAAGGAUCACUUAAAUGGAUCACUUAAACUCCGGUUGAUGGUGCACAUCUUUUUCUCUGCUGUGCUAAAGAUGCUCUCAGCUGUUUAACUUUAGGGAUGGAGAAAAGUUUGACAUAUUUCACGACCAUUAAAUAUUAGCGAGGCCUCUGAGAACGAGGUCAAGCAAAAACCCCUGCUUGUGCUCAUGGACCCUAAAUUUCAACAAAUAAGACAAUAAUACGACAAACUGCUGAGUGACACAAGAGUCUAGGGGAAGGGCAAGCAUGAAGUGAGAUGCUGUGUAGGUGUGUACACAUGUGCUCACACAUGUUGGUACCUCUCUCCGUAGCAAAGUCCUGAAUAAAGUCUGAACCUCCAGGAUACUUACAAGACUGCAGUGGAAACCAUGAAGGAUGCCAGCAAGCAGCUGGACAGCGAGAUGAGCCGUCAGACACAAACCAGCUGGGAGCUUGAACACCAGACAAAAAGAAGCAAUGACUAUAAAAGUCAGAUGGAAAAAAUCACAAAGGAAAUUGAAACCAUGAGAUCAUACUUACCAAUGCUUAGCAAUGGCUGCAAACACUGUCCUGCAGGAUGGAUUUUAAUGAACCCUGUAUGUUACUACUUCCCCUUGAAAUCAAAUGAAAUCAAAACAUGGAAGGAAUCCAGAGAUUUCUGUCAGCUGCAGGGAGGAGAUCUUAUAAUCAUAGACAGCCGAGAUGAAGAGAACUCAACAGUCAAUUACUUGAUAAAUCAUCAACCUGCCCCGAGACAAACUCAUGACCUGGUCUGGGAACCUCCCUCAUGGACCUUGGAUGGCUCACAGAGAUUGGAUAAGAAGAAGAAAUGAUUAUCAAGAUACGUCUCAUACUACGCCGUUCUGGAUCGGACUGACAGAUGUCCAUGAGGAAGGGACUUGGAAAUGAUGGGAUGGAACAUUACUUGCUGAAGGGUACUGGAACGAUGGAGAGCCGAAUGAUCACAACAAUGAGGACUGUGCAGCGUUGUAUCCCAAAGCAAACUUCUACAAGAGCUGGAACGAUCUUCCAUGUGAGACCAAAAUAAAAUGGAUUUGUGAAAAAGCACCAAAAUCACUGAGCUAAGAUUAAUGAAAUAAUGCAUCACAAUCCUACAUAAGCACAUGUUGCUAUCACACAAAUCUCUGUAAGCAUUUAAUAAACUUUUUUUAGCAAAGUAGCAAAUCUUACAGCUAAGAUGAAAAAGGAUUAUCCAACACAUUUCUAGAAAGUAAACUGCUGUUUUGUCCUUGUGAGUACGCUGUAUUUAUCUACAGCAAUGCUACAGUAAAAUGUUCAUUUAUAUUAUACACAGACUUACAGUGUUUUACAUUAUUAACACAAUGUUAUAUGAUGAACAUGUUAAUAAACACUUACAGCUGGUAACAAUUAAAUCUACAGCUUUAAUAUCCUGUUUCUGUUAGCAGCCUGUGUACAAAGGAAAAGAUGAUAAAUACAGAUGCAAAGUCAUUGAUUAUACUUCAAUCAGUAUUUUUACUGUAGAAAAUAUUUUGAAAGCAUGAACUAAUGUAUGAAAUGCUCUCGUCACUAAAAUAUAUGUGAAUCUU